GAUGAACGCUGGCGGCGUGCCUAACACAUGCAAGUCGAGCGAACCGAUGAGGAGCUUGCUCCUCUGACUUCAGCGGCGGACGGGUGAGUCACACGUGGUUAACCUACCUAUCAGACUGGGAUAACUUCACGAAACCGUAGCUACUACCCGAUAAUAUAUUGCAUCUCAUGGUUCCCUAGUGAAAGACGGUUUUGCUUUCAGUUAUAGAUGGAUCCGCGCCGCAUUAGCUAGUUGUCAAGGAAACGGCUUAACAACGCGACGAGGCGUACCCGACCUGAGAGGGAGAUCGGCCACCCGGGAACUGAGACAGAGUCGAGACACCUACGGUGGGCAGCGGUAGGGAAUCUUACGGGAGGGAGGAGAGCCUGACGGUGCAACAUCGCGUGAGUGAUGAAGGUCUUCGGCUGGUAGAACUCUGUUAUUAGGAGAGAUCAAAUGUGUAAGUAACUGUGAACGUAUUGACGGUACCGAAACAGAAAGCCACGGCUAACUACGUG
rnacentral:rRNA from 1 species